GACGUCGAAUAUCGACGUCAUAAACACCAAAGUUGAUCGUGUUUAUGACGUCGAAUAUCGACGUCAUAAACAUCUAAGUUUAUCGUGUUUAUGACGUCGAAUAUCGACGUCAUAAACAUCUAAGUUUAUCGUGUUUAUGACGUCGAAUAUCGACGUCAUAAACACCAAAGUUGAUCGUGUUUAUGACAACGAAUAUCGACGUCAUAAACACCAAAGUUGAGCGUGUUUAUGACGUCGAAUAUCGACGUC
rnacentral:miRNA from 1 species